rnacentral:rRNA from 1 species
AUUGAACGCUGGCGGCAUGCUUUACACAUGCAAGUCGAACGGUAACAGGCCGCAAGGUGCUGACGAGUGGCGAACGGGUGAGUAAUGCAUCGGAACGUGCCCAGUCGUGGGGGAUAACGCAGCGAAAGCUGCGCUAAUACCGCAUACGAUCUAUGGAUGAAAGAGGGGGACCGUAAGGCCUAGAGCGAAUGGAGCGGCCGAUGUCAGAUUAGGUAGUUGGUGGGGUAAAGGCUCACCAAGCCAACGAUCAGUAGCUGGUCUGAGAGGACGACCAGCCACACUGGGACUGAGACACGGCCCAGACUCCUACGGGAGGCAGCAGUGGGGAAUUUUGGACAAUGGGCGCAAGCCUGAUCCAGCAAUGCCGCGUGCAGGAAGAAGGCCUUCGGGUUGUAAACUGCUUUUGUACGGAACGAAACGGCUCUCUCUAAUACAGGGGGUUAAUGACGGUACCGUAAGAAUAAGCACCGGCUAACUAUGUGCCAGCCGCCGCGGUAACAC